rnacentral:rRNA from 1 species
GAUUAACGCUGGCGGCGUGCCUAACACAUGCAAGUCGAGCGGCAGCGAGUUUUACACUGACUUCUGGAAGCUUCUAGUUGAAAGAGAAGAUUUAUUCAAGAAUUUUGUGUAAAAUGUCGGCGAGCGGCGGACGGCUGAGUAACGCGUGGGAACGUACCCCAAAGUGAGGGAUAACGCAUCGAAAGGUGUGCUAAUACCGCAUAUGGUCUUCGGAUUAAAGCCUUCGGGCGCUUUGGGAACGGCCUGCGUAAGAUUAGAUAGUUGGUGGGGUAAUGGCCUACCAAGUCGACGAUCGUUAACUGGUUUGAGAGGAUGAUCAGUCAGACUGGAACUGAGACACGGUCCAGACUCCUACGGGAGGCAGCAGUGAGGAAUCUUCCACAAUGGGCGAAAGCCUGAUGGAGCAACGCCGCGUGCAGGAUGAAGGCCUUCGGGUUGUAAACUGCUUUUAUAAGUGAGGAUUAUGACAGUAACUUAUGAAUAAGGAUCGGCUAACUACGUG